UACCAGCACCCCGAGUGGUCGGGACGAUUAUUGGGCCUAAAGCAUCCGUAGCCGGUUCUACAAGUCUUCCGUUAAAUCCACCUGCUUAACAGAUGGGCUGCGGAGGAUACUAUAGAGCUAGGAGGCGGGAGAGGCAAGCGGUACUUAGUGGGUAGGGGUAAAAUCCGUUGAUCCAUUGAAGACCGCCAGUGGCGAAGGCGGCUUGCCAGAACGCACUCGACGGUGAGGGAUGAAAGCUGGGGGAGCAAACCGG
rnacentral:rRNA from 1 species